UUCACAUGUUAUCUGUUGUUUGUGCCUCAGUUUCUGCUAGGUGCAACAGGGCUGGCAAAUAUACUCGCCUCAUCUGCAUUAGAUGGAUAGAAGCAGGUAAAGCCGGGUUGUCAAACGUGUUCAGCUCAGGAUCGACUGCUGUGCACUCUCCAAGAUGCUCAGCUUAGGGUAGAUAUGACACCUGAGAGCUGGGGCUCACCCGGAAGGAGAAGGACACACACGUGGGGAGGAAGGUGCUGUACUCAGGCCUUGACUUGAAUUGGACCCCAAAGCAAAAGAAGUUUUGCAGCUUGACAAAUCUCUGGCCCUGUUUAUGGCUAGCAUGAUCCAAAGACAGACUCUCGGUGCUCCCCUAAAGUGACCAUGUGGAGCACAAAUCCAUCCGCGUUUUCAAUGAGAGCAGCCAGCACCUUGGAAGCGAAGGGGCGAUGGCAGCGACAGAUGGAGGGCUUCCGAGGCGGGCGGCGGCCUUUAUUCCCAGAUGAAGGCUCCCUCUUGUGUGAGUGUCGACCGGCCAUCUCCACUUAAACAAUCCCUUUGCAGUGAAUGGUUGUACGACACAUAACACCUCCUUUGUCUACCAGCCUUUCCAAAGCUCUCUGCCUGUCUGCCCUCUGCCUGUGCGU